GGAGGGUUUGAAGCUGCACCGCGAGGGAGCGAGGCCGCAGUGACAGCAGCGGGUGUUCAGACGCCGGUUGCACCGCUGCGCCCGCCGGCGUUCGGCGCUCCCCCCGCGGCAUGGCAGUGCCCGUAGGCCCGCGCGGCUCAGAGACUGAGCGCCUCCUGACACCCAAACCUGGGUAUGGGACCCGGGUGGGGCCUUCCCCAGCCCCUUCAACCCCUCCAGAAGAGGAAGAUCUCCGCCGUCGUCUCAAGUACUUCUUCAUGAGUCCCUGUGAUAAAUUUCGGGCCAAGGGCCGUAAGCCCUUCAAGCUCAUGCUGCAGGUGGUGAAGAUCCUGGUGGUCACAGUGCAGCUCAUCCUGUUUGGGCUCAGCAACCAGCUGGCAGUGACAUUCCGGGAGGAGAACACCAUCGCCUUCCGGCACCUCUUCCUGCUGGGCUACUCGGACGGGGCGGAUGACACCUUUGCGGCCUACACCCGGGAGCAGCUGUACCAGGCCAUCUUCUAUGCCAUGGACCAGUACCUGAUGCUCCCCGACGUGUCCCUGGGUCGGUAUGCUUACGUGCGGGGCGGGGGCGGGCCCUGGGCCAAUGGCUCGGCCCUGGCUCUCUGCCAGUGCUACUACCACCGGGGCCACGUGGACCCAGCCAAUGACACCUUUGACAUCGACCCGAUGGUCAUCACUGACUGUAUCCGGGUGGACCCUCCCGAGAGACCCCCUGUGCCCCCCAGUGAUGAGCUCUCCCUCUUGGAUGGCAGCACCAGUUACAAGAACCUCACGCUCAAAUUCCACAAGCUGAUCAACGUCACCAUCCACUUCCAGCUGAAGACCAUCAACCUCCAGAGCCUGAUCAACAAUGAAAUCCCAGACUGCUACACCUUCAGCAUCCUGAUCACAUUUGACAAUAAGGCACACAGUGGGCGUAUCCCCAUCAGCCUGGAGACCCAGGCCCACAUCCAGGAGUGUAAGCACCCCAGCGUCUUCGGCCAUGGAGACAACAGCUUCCGGCUUCUCUUUGACGUGGUCGUGAUCCUCACUUGUGCCUUCUCCUUCCUGCUGUGCGCCCGCUCGCUGCUGCGAGGCUUCCUGCUGCAGAGCGAGUUUGUCAGGUUCAUGCGGCGGCAGCGGGGACAGGUCAUCAGCCUGUGGGAGCGGCUGGAAUUUGUCAAUGGCUGGUACAUCCUGCUGGUCACCAGCGACGUGCUCACCAUCUCAGGCACCAUCAUGAAGAUCGGCAUCGAAGCCAAGAACCUGGCAAGCUAUGAUGUCUGCAGCAUCCUCCUGGGCACCUCGACGCUGCUCGUCUGGGUCGGUGUUAUCCGCUACCUGACCUUCUUCCACAAGUACAACAUCCUCAUCGCCACGCUGCGGGUGGCCCUGCCCAGCGUCAUGCGCUUCUGCUGCUGUGUGGCCGUCAUCUACCUGGGCUAUUGCUUCUGCGGCUGGAUUGUGUUGGGGCCCUACCAUGUGAAGUUCCGCUCGCUGUCCAUGGUGUCCGAGUGCCUUUUCUCGCUCAUCAACGGGGAUGACAUGUUCGUGACGUUCGCGGCGAUGCAGGCGCAGCAGGGCCGCAGCAGCCUGGUCUGGCUGUUCUCCCAGCUCUACCUGUACUCCUUCAUCAGCCUGUUUAUCUACAUGGUGCUCAGCCUCUUCAUCGCGCUCAUCACUGGUGCCUACGACACCAUCAAGGAAGUUCUGGAUUGAUGAGACAGGAGCCCAAGAGAGAGAGCACCAGGGAGAAGGAACGGCCAAAGCAAAGACCUAGAACCAGAAAGGACUUGGAGAGGAGGUAUUGGCCCUGUGAGGUUGGGAGAGAUGAAGACAAGGCUAAAAGCCAGAACAUUCACUGCUGCUGGGAAUGCAGAUGUUUGCACCCCGCCCGCCCCCCCCCCCACAAGUGGGUGGUUGUCAAGCACCCAGAUUGGGUCAGGCACAGCUCGAGGCGCUGGAGCCACAGCGGAGGGCACCAACUGACCAAGAUUCAAGGUGUGCACACAUUCAGUGGUCAGGGAAUGUCUCCGGGUGAAGCAAACCACGAGGAACAGCAGGUGGAGGGCACAGCACGGUGCAGAGGCCCAGAGGUGGGAGCCUGGUUGGUCCACGAGGACCGCACCCGGGCGGAGCGGGCGGAGAGGAGAGCCAGCUCCAGGCCUACAUCGCGCAGUGCCAGGACAGCCCCACCUCCGG